GGAUUGCUCGCUCUAUAAUCCUU
rnacentral:snRNA from 1 species